rnacentral:tRNA from 1 species
GGAGAGAUGGCAGAGCGGUUUAAUGCGGCGGUCUUGAAAACCGUUGUGGGCAACCACCGGGGGUUCGAAUCCCUCUCUCUCCGCCA